GCCGGAGAAGGCGCCUGAGAGAUAGCGACUAUAUCCACGGGUAGCAGCAGGCGCGAAACUUUCCCACUCGAGACUUUCGGAGGAGGUAAUGACCAGUUCCAUUGGUGCCUUUUGGUACUGUGGAUAGGGGUACGGUUUUCCACCGUACCGAAACCUAGCAGAGGGCCAGUCUGGUGCCAGCAGCUGCGGUAAUUCCAGCUCUGCGAGUUUGCUCCCAUAUUGUUGCAGUUAAAACGCCCGUAGUCUGAAUUGGCCAGCAAUGGUCGUACGUAUUUUUACGUUCACUGUGAACAAAUCAGGACGCUUAGAGUAUGGCCACAUGAAUGACUCAGCGCAGUAUGAAGUCUUUGUUUUCUUCCGAAAACAAGCUCAAUGAGAGCCAUCGGGGGUAGAUCUAUCUCAUGACGAGUGGUGGAAUACUUUGACUCAUGAGAGAGAAGCUGAGGCGAAGGCGUCUACCUAGAGGGUUUCUGUCGAUCAAGGGCGAGAGUAGGAGUAUCCAACAGGAUUAGAGACCCUGGUAGUUCCUACCUUAAACGAUGCCGACAGGAGUUUGUCAUUUGUUAAUGGCAGAAUCUUUGGAGAAAUCAUAGUUCUUGGGCUCUGGGGGAACUACGACCGCAAGGCUGAAACUUGAAGGAAUUGACGGAAGGGCACACCAGGGGUGGAGCCUGUGGCUUAAUUUGAAUCAACACGGGGAAACUUACCAGGACCAGAUGUUUUUUAUGACUGACAGGCUUCGGGUCUUUCAGGAUAUUGUUUUUGGUGGUGCAUGGCCGUUGGUGGUGCGUGGGUUGACCUGUCUAGCGUUGAUUCAGCUAACGAGCGAGAUUAUCGCCAAUUAUUUACUUUGCCGAAGUCCUUCGGUUAAAGUUCUAAUUGGGACUCCCUGCGAUUUUAGCAGUGGAAGAGGGUAGCAAUAACAGGUCCGUGAUGCCCUUUAGAUGCUCUGGGCUGCACGCGUGCUACAAUGUUAGGAUCAAUAGGACUGCGAGCCUGAGAGGGUGCGCUACUCUUAUAAUCCCUAACGUAGUUGGGAUUGACGUUUGUAAUCAGC
rnacentral:ncRNA from 2 species